UCUACGGGAGGCAGCAGUGAGGAAUAUUGGUCAAUGGGCGCGAGCCUGAACCAGCCAAGUCGCGUGAGGGAAGACGGCCCUACGGGUUGUAAACCUCUUUUGCCGGGGAGCAACGGGCGCCACGUGUGGCGCCACUGAGAGUACCCGGAGAAAAAGCAUCGGCUAACUCCGUGCCAGCAGCCGCGGUAAUACGGAGGAUGCGAGCGUUAUCCGGAUUUAUUGGGUUUAAAGGGUGCGUAGGCGGGCUUUUAAGUCAGCGGUAAAAAUUCGGGGCUCAACCCCGUCCGGCCGUUGAAACUGGGGGCCUUGAGUGGGCGAGAAGAAGGCGGAAUGCGUGGUGUAGCGGUGAAAUGCAUAGAUAUCACGCAGAACCCCGAUUGCGAAGGCAGCCUUCCGGCGCCCUACUGACGCUGAGGCACGAAAGUGCGGGGAUCGAACAGGAUUAGAUACCCUUGUAGUC
rnacentral:rRNA from 1 species